AGGAAGGCGCCGGCCGUGGAGGCGCCACGUCCCUUGCGGCGGCGGGAGAGAAAUCGCUUGGACUUCGGGGCGGCCUCGGACGGCCAUGGCCUUUACCCUGUACUCACUGCUGCAGGCAGCCCUGCUCUGCGUCAACGCCAUCGCAGUGCUGCACGAGGAGCGAUUCCUCAAGAACAUUGGCUGGGGAACAGACCAGGGAAUUGGUGGAUUUGGAGAAGAGCCGGGAAUUAAAUCACAGCUAAUGAACCUUAUUCGAUCUGUAAGAACCGUGAUGAGAGGUAAGAAGAAAAGCUAAUAGAGCAUUCUUAAGUUUUAAUGUUGUGGUUUAAGUAGCAAGGCUUCUGAGUGUGAAUACCAUAUAUGCCAUUUGUAGUGGGAAUUUUUUUUCUCUUUAACAUGGCUUUGCUGCUUGAAAGUUACUGGGUUUUUUUUUUUUUUUUCUUAGUUUGCUUCUUACUUCUAUCUAAGCCAGUUGGUACAAAUAGAAUGCUUAGUAUAAUACAUAUAAUCUGUUUGUGUGUUACCUGUCAGAGCUAAAAGACAAAAUUAUAUUCUUGCCUUUUGGAAACUGUUGUUUCCAAGUUGUAAAAUCACAUACAGUAUUGGGAGGUUUCCAAGAGAAAGCUGGGCGUGUUGGUUUACUCCUGUAAUCCCAACACUUUGAGAGGCCAAGGCAGGCAGAUCACCUGAGGUCAGGAGUUUGAGACCAGCCUGGCCAACAUGGGUGAAACCCCGUCUCUACUAAAAAUACAAAAUUAGCCAGUGGUGCAUACCUGUAAUCCUAGCUAUUUGGGAGGCUGAGGCAGGAGGAUGGCUUGAACCCGGGAGGUGG
rnacentral:lncRNA from 10 species